UCGACCGCCUGGGGAGUACGGCCGCAAGGUUAAAACUCAAAUGAAUUGACGGGGGCCCGCACAAGCGGUGGAGCAUGUGGUUUAAUUCGAUGCAACGCGAAGAACCUUACCUGGUCUUGACAUCCACAGAACUUUCCAGAGAUGGAUUGGUGCCUUCGGGAACUGUGAGACAGGUGCUGCAUGGCUGUCGUCAGCUCGUGUUGUGAAAUGUUGGGUUAAGUCCCGCAACGAGCGCAACCCUUAUCCUUUGUUGCCAGCGGUCCGGCCGGGAACUCAAAGGAGACUGCCAGUGAUAAACUGGAGGAAGGUGGGGAUGACGUCAAGUCAUCAUGGCCCUUACGACCAGGGCUACACACGUGCUACAAUGGCGCAUACAAAGAGAAGCGACCUCGCGAGAGCAAGCGGACCUCAUAAAGUGCGUCGUAGUCCGGAUUGGAGUCUGCAACUCGACUCCAUGAAGUCGGAAUCGCUAGUAAUCGUGGAUCAGAAUGCCACGGUGAAUACGUUCCCGGGCCUUGUACACACCGCCCGUCACACCAUGGGAGUGGGUUGCAAAAGAAGUAGGUAGCUUAACCUUCGGGAGGGCGCUUACCACUUUGUGAUUCAUGACUGGGGUGAAGUCGUAACAAGGUAACCGUAGGGGAACCUGCGGUUGGAUCACCUCCUUACCUUAAAGAA
rnacentral:rRNA from 1 species